GAUAAGAUGGUAAACAUCUUGUCAGCAGACUCUCUCUAUUGACUCUCUCCCCUGCUGGCUUUGAUAAAGUGAGCUGUUGUAGGGAGAGGCAAGGAACUUAGAGUGGCUUCCAGCAGCCAGCCAGCCGGAAGCCAGGCCCUCAAUCUGACAACCUACAACAAACUGAAUCCUGUCAACAGCCAUGUGAGCUUGGCAGCAUAUCCUUCUCCAGUCAAGCCUUAGAUGAGCCCCCGGCCCCAGCUGACACUUUGAUGGAGCUUUGUGAAAAGCCCUAAAGCAGAGGACCCAGCUAACCCGUGCCUGGAUUCCUGACCCAUGGAAACUGCAAGUUAUGGCAAAUGAUCUGGGUUCAGCCAUUCCUCCUUCCCUCGGUCCUGUCUUGCAACACAUCUCUCUGCGAAGUCUGAUUGAGGCUGGAAGAGCAACGGAAUGGGCCGUGAGCUCCUCCGGGUGGGGGUGGGGAGGUGUGGAGAGGAGGAAGCACGGUUUAUGGAAUAUUCUCCCUACAGCACUUAGGAUAGUCAAAGCACAUAGUAAAGGACUGCUGGAUUGAACUGAACUGAAGGGAACGGAACUAGCUGUCUCAGUAUACCAAAACCACGCACAGGCAAGGAAUACUUGCUAGGGAUCCGCACAAAUUAUUAGAUAAACCAACUUUUUGGCAGGGAGAGAAGCUAGGGAUGUAUUUUUCCUUGAUUUUCAUAUUAUAGCUUGACCCAUUGUAUAAUAAUUUAUUAAGAAAUAAAGGAACGGAGGAAUGCCAUUUUAAAGAAGGUCAAUAAAAACAGCAUCCUUUUAA